UACGUAGGGUCCGAGCGUUUGUCCGGAAUUACUGGGCGUAAAGAGCUCGUAGGUGGUUGUCGCGUUGUUCGUGAAACUCACAGCUCAACUGUGGGCGUGCGGGCGAUACGGGCAGACUAGAGUACUGGCAGGGGGAGACUGGAAUUCCUGGGUGUAGCGGUGGAAUGCGCAGAAUAUCAGGAGGAACACCGGUGGCGAAGGCGGGUCUCUGGGCAGUAACUGCGUGGAGGAAGCGAAAGCGUGGGGAGCGAACAGGAUUAGACUACCC
rnacentral:rRNA from 1 species